CACCAUCACUUAUGUGUCUGCAGUGGGCCGACCUCCCUACAACCUGUUCUCAAGGCAUUAGUAUGGGAUUUCACCUGACUCUCACUGUCAUCCUGAGUCUUUACAAAGGUGUUUGGGCACAAAUUAAGUUGGAGCAAAGUGGAAAUGAGAUAAAAGAAAUUGGACAGUUUGUACGUCUCUCCUGCAAAGUAUCAGGAAUCCAAAUUGAAAAUGCCUUUAUGUACUGGUACCGCCAGGUACAGGGAAAGACGCUGGAGUAUAUAAGCUCUAUGUCUGGUAAUAGAGAAAAUGGAUAUACCCCAAAGACAAUGCAAAGGAGAGCCUUCAUAUCCAUACAUACCUCCAGCAACCUACUCUACUUAGAAAUUGAAAACCUGGAGCAAGAAGAUUCAGCUGUGUACUACUGUGGAGUACCACAACAUGGAGAAGAAAACUGACUCCAGACCCAAAACCUUGCCUAGGCUUGUGUAAAUUCGGGCAAAUGACUCAAAAGCCUAUCACUGAUCUCCAGCAUCUAAAUGAAGGUUGUCUCUGUCUCCAGUGAAAAUCAUUUUAGUAGAAUAUGUUUCCUUAGGGUAGGGACUGUCUUAAUUUUGAAUUCAU